GAUCCUGGCUCAGGACGAACGCUGGCGGCGUGCUUAACACAUGCAAGUCGAACGAGAAUCUGUGGAUCGAGGAUUCGUCCAAGUGAAGCAGAGGACAGUGGCGGACGGGUGAGUAACGCGUGAGGAACCUGCCUUUCAGAGGGGACAACAGUUGGAAACGACUGCUAAUACCGCAUGAUACAUUUGGGUGGCAUCAUCUGAAUGCCAAAGAUUUAUCGCUGAAAGAU
rnacentral:rRNA from 1 species